UGCAUGGUGGCGCAGUUGGUAGCACUGUUGCCUACAGCAAGAAGGUCCUGGGUUCGAUUCCCGGCCGGGGGUCUUUCUGCAU